CUUGUGUGAUUGCAAACAGUGACUCCCAGCUAACUGCAGAGAGUGUGGCUUCCUCCAGGAGACUCAGACUCACCCUCUCAGCGAUUCACCAGCCCUGUAGACACCUCCUUCGUGCCAGGCUCUGUGCCACUGCUGAGUCCUCAAGGACAGGUGAUGCUAACCUUGUUUCUAGCACCAGUUUGUCUUAGUUAAUCUUCAUAACCUCCUCACUACUCUAGGAGGCAGCACAGGCCCAGCUCGGCCGCUCCCCCGCUGUCAGAGCUGGCUCCUGCUCGGCCCUUCUCAGCUCGUGGCUUCUGGCUCAUGCUUCAAGACGGCUGCUCAAGCUCUAAUCUGUUCUCCAGCAUAAGCAGACAGAACACAAAUACACAAACAUAUUGGAGGACUCGAAGAUUGUCUGCAUCGGAGAGGAAGGAGUCAGAAGCCUGAGUCCUGGUUCCCACCUCACCUCCAGCUGGCUAGGUGACCAGGAGAAGACUGGCCCUGAGCUAACAUCCGUGCCCAUCUUCGCC
rnacentral:lncRNA from 1 species